CUCUCUGUAACUCAUUGGUAGAGCAUCUGCUUGAAAUGCAGAAGAUUGCAGGUUCAAUCCCUGACAUCUCCAGGUAGG